UCUCAAGCAAGAACGAGGUUUGGAUGCUGCUCAUAGUGGUGAGUUUAUAGAUGAACUCAGCAAUGAUAGCACAAUUGGGUAACAAAUUAUUAAUUUAAUCAUCCCUACAACUUCGCGGGAGUAACUUUUCACUAUCUCGGCACUAUAUAAUUUGAUUUUUAAAGAUACAAAGGUAAGUUUAGAAGAUAUGACAAAAUAUUUCCACAUCACUCGUAUUGAUUUUCUCAUCUAUCUAAAUCCUCAUAUACUCAUGUUUGCUGUAACAGUCUUACAAUAGUCAUUGGAAGGACUCAAAAUGUGAAUGCAACCAUGUAUUUUGGAUGCAAAUUAUUUUUGGACCAUUUUUGGAGUCUUCUGUCCCUUUUGACACCUGAAAUAAUAUACUCCUACACGUGUAAUUCAAGCAUUAAACAUGACUUUGCAUCACACAUAGUGUGUACUUUCUUCAUAGCCUAAUAUUCUCAUAUUUCUGUCAAGGGCCUCUAAGUUUUAGUUUCGCCCCGGGCCCCCAAAUCUUAGGACCGGCCUUGUGUGGUGCACGUGUACUCAAGGCAAUGUUGAAGGUAAUAUUUCACUGAAGGUAAUAUUGUGAUGCAGUACAGCUAGUCAGAUAUAGUAAAUUCAGAGAUUGCUUUUAAAAUAUCAUAUUUAAAAGCUAAAGCAGAGGAGAAAUAACUAAGUCAGCUAGUGUAGACAAUUUCAUAUUCUUAGACCAAGUUAGCUAUAACUGUGAAAACAUUCUACAGAGUAAACCAUUGGAAAUUUGUACUCAAAAUUCAGCUAAGUAAAAUCAAUCUUCAGAAAAUAUUAGAGGGUGUGGACAUUAGCGAGUGUAUUCGUAUUUGUGCUUUUGCUAAUAGUUUUCUAGGAAGAAAAUAAUAAUAAUCUGGACACCACCAACCAUUACACUUAAGGGAUACAUUUUCCAUUGCCCAUUGAUUCAUCUACAUAAGCCAUUCAUCUAGAGAAUAUUUCUGUGUAUAAUUAUUCAUCUAUGGAAGCAAUGUAAUUAUUUUGAAAAUCCAUUGUAAAUUAUGCUCUAGAGAAAACUUCAGUGUAUAUGUAUGGCGUGUUUUAGUUUUUACUAAUAAUUUGUCCCGACAUCUAAAAUAGGUUGAUAGACAUUCUUUUAUUUUUACUGAUUUGUAUUGUUGUCAUACAAAUAGGGAAAUUAAAUUUUUCGUUGAAAGCAAGGUAUUACUAUGACCAUGAAGUACACCCAUUUUUGUUGGAUGGCUGUUUGAAUGUUGGGCAAAUUCUGCUCGUUCAUGUACGUGUGCUAUGUACAAGGGGGCUAGGCUUUGUAAUAUAUUUCCUUGUAGGUAUGAUUGUGUACUCGGCUACUUGGUGCUGCCAUCACAAUUUGGAUGACGUGAUAGUUUCCAUCAAGGUUUCCAUCACAAUUUGGAUGACGUGAUAGUUUCCAUCAAGGUUUCCAUCAGGAGGGCCGACGACAAGAACUUCAAUAGUUUAAGUGUUUUGUUUGUUCGAACUGGAUUGCACUGUUUUCUAAAUUGUUGAGUGAUAUAUUUUUAUCAAUCUAGGUUGUAAAAUACCAUUUCAUGGAUGAUUUUGUAAACUACUAUGUUGUAGAUACUUGCGGAUGACUACAUAUUGAUUCAUACGUGUACACAUGACACUUUGUAAAUA